rnacentral:rRNA from 1 species
AGCAGCCGCGGUAAUUCCAGCUCCAAUAGCGUAUAUUAAAGUUGCUGCAGUUAAAAAGCUCGUAGUUGAAUUUCGGGACCAUCAUGUCGGUCGUGCCUCGGUACGUACUGGCAUUGUUGGUUUCUACCUUCUGACGAACCAUGAUGUCAUUUAUUUGGUGUCGUGGGGAAUCAGGACUGUUACUUUGAAAAAAUUGAGUGUUUAAAGCAGGCUCACGCUUGAAUACAUUAGCAUGGAAUAAUGAAAUAGGACGUUUGAUUCUAUUUUGUGGUUUCUAGGAUCGACGUAAUGAUUAAUAGGGAUAGUUGGGGCAUUAGUAUUCAAUUGUCAGAGGUGAAAUUCUUGGAUUUUAUUGAAGACUAACUACUGCGAAAGCAAUUUGCCAAGGAUGUUUUCAUUAAUCAAGACGAAAGUUGGGAUCGAAGACGAUCAGAUACCGUCGUAGUCUUAACCAUAAACUAUGCCGACUAGGGAUCGGAUGAUGUUACUUUUAUGA